rnacentral:rRNA from 1 species
GGGCCCGCACAAGCGGUGGAGUAUGUGGUUUAAUUCGAUGCAACGCGAAGAACCUUACCAGGGUUUGACAUCCUGCGAAUCUCUGUGAAAGCAGAGAGUGCCUUUCGGGGAACUCUUACGUAGGUGCUGCAUGGCUGUCGUCAGCUCGUGUCGUGAGAUGUCGGGUUAAGUCCCUUAACGAGCGAAACCCUUAUCUUCAGUUGCCAGCGAGUAAUGUCGGGGACUCUGGAGAGACUGCCGGUGUUAAACCGGAGGAAGGUGGGGAUGACGUCAAGUCCUCAUGGCCUUUAUGUCUAGGGCUGCACACGUCCUACAAUGCAACGUACAAAGCGACGCGAAAUCGCGAGAUCAAGCAAACCGCACAAACGUUGCCCAGUUCGGAUUGCAGGCUGAAAUUCGCCUGCAUGAAGCCGGAAUCGCUAGUAAUCGUAGGUC